GCUGGGAUGGCAGAAUCCGGUUCAAUGCGCCAGUUUCGAAAGCUGGUGUCCGUGAGGACAUGUGGGUUCAAAUCCCACUCCCAGCG
rnacentral:tRNA from 1 species